GGAAGAAGGCGCGGCCGCGGAGGCAGAGCGCCGGGCGCCUAUGGAGGGCAGGGCGGCCGCGCUGGCAGGCCCGGGCCGCCCGUGUGAGGGCAGCGCCCUCCUGCAGCUUCCCAGUGGCCGCAUAUUGCUUUCUGUCCUUCAGCGAAGAGCCACGGACCUGCUCCAAGCCACUGCUGCAUCGGGAACAGGGCCUUGUGAGGGAGGCCACCCCCUCCCCAUGGGGUGCUCGCCGUGGGGACUGUGGGGCAUAGUCGCCCCUCCACCGCGGCCCAGGGCGGGGAGGCCAGCAGGGCCCGCUGGGAGGGCAGGAGUUGCUGCGGGGCUUUAGAAGUCGCCGCGGGGCAGUGAUGGCUGCAGCGAGGAGGGAGGUCAGCAGAGCUGACCUGGCUGCUUAGCUGCUCGCGGGCGAGCACAAAAUGUCCAUCUGCAUCCUCGCGUUCGGCUUGCUGCAGACCGAAAAUCUGAUCUCGUCAUCUGAUCGCUCUUUUGGGCCAAUUUUCUGAGCAAUCCUGCCGUGAGGCACAUGACUGACACUCCUGUAGGUCUGCAGGCUAAGUCAAAUGCUUACCCAGGCGCCCAGUCUUGAGACCUGACAUACAACUUUAUUUCUCCAAUGUCAGAGAGGAAAUGUGUGGGCUACCUCUCUCUAAGAAACUUAAUUGCUAGACUAACUUUAGGAGUCCUAUAGCAGCAGAUAAAGACACUGCUGUUGGUAUUGUGGUUUCAAGCAGCAGCCUAAGGACCCGCCAUUCUCCAGGCUUUGUUUCCGAGGGCCUAUGAGAGUAAAAUGGGGCAAGAAGCCACUGCAGUGCGGUUGGUUGCCCACCCUGGCUGGAGCCUGGUGUGCAGGCUCAGCGGGACCAGCACGGUGCCUUGGGGUGAGCCUGGGGCUGCCCCGCUCCGGCAGUGCCAGCCUGCCACCUGCAGUGACCAGCAAUGCCCAUUCAUGGAAUCUUCCAUUGGUUUGUUUCACUGCUGACAAUUUACUUAAUUCUCUUAUAUGUAAGAACAGAGCUCAGAAAUAAUCUGUAAAGGACCUAUGCAUAACUGCUGAGUUUUACAGGUCUCAUCCUCUCAGGAAGUAGAGCAUCUCUAUUGCACUUAAGAAGCCGAGGCAAUAGAGCCCAAAAAUACUAAGACGGCACCAGUGAUCUGAAUCUUGAAAUUUUAUUCUCUGAUUCAACGUGUUACAAACAAACAUAUUCCACCUGUUACAACAAUCUGGCAUAUUACUUCCUUGAUACGUGAUGAUACAAUACCUCUCAGGUUUGCUGAGUAGCAAAGAGAAAUCACAGUUAUCCAUGAGAACACUUGCAGCCUGAAUUAAAGUGGAAUCCACUUGUCGAAAGGCUUCUUAUGCUCCCUGCAUUAUAGUGUGCAAUUUAUUAGAAUUAAUUGCCAUCGGUGGAGGAUGUGUGUGUUUGACACAGAGCAGCCCCACUUCUGCAAACUGAAGUCUACUGUGCUUGAAUAGGUACAGCCUUGAAUCUCUAGUUACUAUCACAGAGUGAAUUUUGAAAUUUGUAAUUUAUUCUGGUUUAGCUUAUAGUUUUCGUAAGUAUGACAAAAGAAAUUAAAUCAUAUGAUUUACAAUGCAAAGCUAACACAGCAGAAAUUAUAUCUGCUUACAUAAUUAAUAACCAAUGCACACUGUCUUCAUAUAGCACAGAGUACAAUACUUAAUAUAAAUAUCAUGUUGGAUUUUGGAGAAUAUUUAAACACUUUGACCUACAGAUCUAUUUGUUGUGGUGGGUGGUCAUGCUUAUAAACUCACAGAUUCAGUCAUUUACAAGAAUGGAAGGUUCACACACACACACAUACCCACACACCCCAAAAAGUUAAACUGAUUUUUGCUUUCAAAGUGAAUGAAAGAGAAUGUUUCCUUUACUUACUUAGAUCUACCCACUUGUAUCUUUCUCUCUUAAUUUUUUUUUGUCCACACUUGUGCCAUCCAUUAUAUAUUUGGUCACCCUGAUAGUGCUUUUGAAUUAUAAAGCCACACUAGAAACUACAUGUGAAAUGUGAUUACUGACUUGCUAAUUUGAGAUCACUGUCUAUUUGUACUUAACUGAGUCAUUGGAGAGUUGCAACUUAGGAGGAUGAAAUUUCUGAAUUUUUUGCCCAAAAAGAAACAUAUUUUCUGGUGAAAUCUAAACAGAAACAUUAGUAUCAGAAUUUAAUAUCAAUAUUGUGAUAUCUAGAUUGAGAUCAUAGCUAGAAGGCAGAAAGAGAGAGACUGCUUUCCACACAUAUCCUUUCCUGUACAAGUCUAUACUAUCUCACAUUUUUUUGAAGGCUUAUUUAAUUCAUGUUGGCAUUCACCAACAUUUGAUAAACAUGUCACUCCUCACCAGGUGUUCUAACUGAAAACAGAGAUGGACGAAAUAUAUUCCACAGUCUGCUUGUAACAGGGGUCCACUACUUUAAUGAAAACGUAAAAUAUCAUGUUUGUAAAAAUAUUUGCAAAGUAAUCAAUGAAAAUAAAUAUGAUGAAAGGGUGCCUAAAUUAAUUUACAUGUUUUUGCGCAAAGUUCUUUUUCCUAAAGAGAUUAAUUUUUGUGUACUGGAAGCUGCUUUUGCAUGUUAGGUAAUUUUUUCUCUUCUGUGUUUUUUUCUUGAGGGCAGUUUGAUGAUCAGUAAACAUCAUAGGAUAAAUAUUGUGGCUGUGUCUGUCUAGGAGAAAUCAACCAAGAAUUCUAACAAUUCUGUUCUAAAUACUGUUCUCAAAGAUAUAAUCCAUAGAGAGAAUCUACUUAAUCUGACAAACAUGAUUUCAAUUCAGGAAAUAGCUCACAAUCAUUCUACUGCAUCUGACAUCAGUGGUAUCCACACAGCCAUUCUGUGCAAACUCCCUGCUUUAAAGGUCUUCCCAUCACUGUUAUUGGUCUCACAGAUGAUGAAGUAUGACACUCCAUAAACAAUGAGCUGGGCCUUUUGUAGGCUGCUUUGCUUUUUUUGGCUUCAAACUGCCACUGAAUGUCAAAUCAAUUUGGCUUUCAUUAGAACAGCUUUAUAUGUGCAAAUGUAUUUGUGUCUGGUUGCUACUUUUUUCUAUUUUUGCUUUCCUUUCCCUUUGCUUUUUUUUUAUCCUUUCCCUUGAAUGAUGUAAUUUUUCUCUAAUCAAAGCCAACACCUGUUUCUCUAAAAUAGGACCCUCUGUGUAAAGCUCUUUAUCACAAUCUGAGUACACUCUAGAUGGGCUCAUUAUGAAUCAAGUUCUCUCGGAACAAAGAGGAAGUGCUCUGCUACAGUGACAUUGUACAUCAUAGAGCCUGGAUAAAGUCAAGAGCUGAUGUAACCUUGACUUUUGACAUGCCAAGAGACUAUUGUCUAGAUAAUGCAAGGUGUGUAAGCCUCUGUCUUUGAUAAGUAAUAAAACAAAUAAUAAA